GAUUGGUUACCGUUUGUUUCUAAUACUAUUAUUUUCCUAGUCAUUUUCAAGGAUGAGCGGAUGGGAUGCCUGGUCUCAACAAUUAUUAACUAGAAAAAUAGAGGGUGUUACACACCAUAGUGCCCAACAUGGAGGCAUUUAUGGCCUUGAUGGUAAAUUAUGGGCUGGAACCGAUGCAUUUAUGAAGAAAAAGAUAAAUCCACAGUCUUUCAAAAAGGUUGACGAUGCCAUAGCAAAAGGGGCCGCAGCUGUCAGUAAACUAGAAUUUGGCGAUAAAAAGUUCUUUGUAUUGAAUAAUGACCCCGGUUCAAAAUUUGUAAUCGGUAAAUCAACAGAAAAAGGGGCGGGUUGUACGAUUGCAAGGGGCAAGUCGUGCUUUGUGUUGGGAAUAUAUGACAAUGAUCAAGUGCAGCCCUCCAAUAAUACAAGUCAAGUUUGUUAUGUCAGGGACCAACUUAUUUCCGCCGGUUAUUAACCUAAAUAUUUAUUUAUAUAUUGUUUAAAUAUAAGUUUUAUUAUAUUAUUAGAUAAUAAUUAAAGUGCUGGAGAUAUUGUUUUAUUUUACAUUCCAAAUCAGUGAGGUGGAAGUCAUUUAUACAUUCUAGUUCCAAAUAACUGUAGCCAUUUUGAUAUAUCAGUGUCAUUUAUUGUAUAACUUAUACAUUCUAGUUCCAAAUGACUGUAACCAUUUUGAUAUAUCAGUGUCAUUUAUUGUAUAACUUAUACAUUCUAGUUCCAAAUUACUGUAACCAUUUUGAUAUAUCAGUGUCAUUUAUUGUAAUAACUUAUUCUAUUGGCAGAGUAAAUGAAAUUAUUUUUUUUUAUUGUACAUUUGACAACAAUAUCAUUUACUUCAGAAUCUCGUAUGUAUGUUUUUCAAAUGUUAGUUUUACAAUAGAAAACUGCUGUUUUAUCAAAAAACAUUUUAACAA